AGGAGGAGGCAACACCAUUGGUGGACUUGGUCAGCCCAUCACCUGCCAGAGUUGCGGUGGAAGAGGUCAACCCCCAUUCUUCUAAUCCAUCAUUGAAGGACACCAGGGAGGACCAUGCCGUAAAGCUUCAAGAAAGAACCCCAGUGUCACAGAGGACAGAGGAUGUUCAUCAGAUGCCAAGCAACAAAAGAUGCAAAAUGGCACAGCAUGAAGACAGCAAAG